rnacentral:lncRNA from 1 species
CGAGAACCUCUCAUUCAGGGAAUUCCAAGUCUUUUAAAGUGUAAAACUCGGUCUGAUUGACCUUUCUAAUAACCAUUGUUUUCCCUGCAUUCGAGCAAAAAUGUCGUGGCAUUUUCGCGGUUUUAAGUGCGGAAUUUACUCUAACGCGUUGCAUGCUAUUUGUCUUAUCGAAGGAGUACGUGUUGUGAAUUUCAUCUUGACACCCUGUUAGUGAUUUGCAAGUCCUGAUAAGUAGUGCUAAUUAUAAGUAAUGAACAACGAAGUGAGAUAGGUAUAUGGAAAUAGAUCGAUAAUUGUUUCCCAACUUCGCCUCCAACCGCGCGGUUUCCUACGAUGUGAUUAUUUUUUUUAUUUUUUUUAAAAAAAAAAUCUCUACAGAUGCUCUGUAAUGGCGAGUCCGAAAUUUUAUCGUGUCCUGUUCUGUCUGAAAUUAUAUCCAGGUGCAAUUCUAAUGCGUUCAAAAUGAGUUACUUACGGGAAAAUACUUGACGUGUGUUUUUAAGCACUAUACAAGUGAAAUUCAAUUCACGAGCGCGUUUUAUCAUUUUUCAAUGAAGAUUCUUGAAUAUCGACCAUGUUCAUCCAUAAAUCCAAAGGCAAUCAUAACAAUAAGAAUGAAGAAUCCAGCGACAAUGAAUCUGAAGAAGAUACCGGCGAUUUGUUACAGAGGCGCAGAGAAGAAUGCGAGCGAAAAGCGAGGAGGGGGGAGAUGGACCCCCGGCUGGAGUUCACCUUCCAGCUCCUCAUGGACGGCACCGGUCUUCCUCGAUCCGACAUAAUGGAUCACGUGUUCGAUGGAAAUAUGCUGGAUGAGAUAAAUCAAUUAUUCUUACCACAUAUGAGGAACAAGUUACUAUGGUUCUAUCAGGAAGUUGAGGAGUGCGAAUCACCACCACCUGUAGACACGACAAAAUCUCAAUCAAACAGGCUAGCCUCAGUGCUCCCCAAAUUGCAGGGGUCAGCAGUUGCAGCUCACCCGAAAAGAAACUUUUUUGACCGAUGGCUGGCAAGUUGA